UACGGGGGGGGUAAGCGUUGUUCGGAUUUACUGGGCGUAAAGGGCGCGUAGGCGGCCACUGCAAGUCGGUUGUGAAAUCUCCGGGCUUAACCCGGAAAGGUCAAUCGAUACUGCAGGGCUAGAGUGCAGAAGGGGCAACUGGAAUUCUCGGUGUAGCGGUGAAAUGCGUAGAUAUCGAGAGGAACACCUGCGGCGAAGGCGGGUUGCUGGGCUGACACUGACGCUGAAGCGCGAAAGCUAGGGGAGCGAACGGG
rnacentral:rRNA from 1 species